rnacentral:rRNA from 1 species
UCAAACGUUGAAGGGCUUCUGACGGAUGCCUUGGCGUAGAGAGGCGAUGAAGGACGUGGCAAGCUGCGAUAAGAACCGGGGAGGCGCUAGCACCCUUUGAUCCGGUUAUUUCCGAAUGGGGGAACCCACCUUUACAGUCUUCCAACUCUGCUCUUCGGAGCAGCGAUUGGCGGAUUGUUGAAAGGUAUAAUGAGCUGAAUACAUAGGCUUCAUUAAGCGAACCCGGGGAACUGAAACAUCUCAGUACCCGGAGGAAAGGACAUCAACCGAGACUCCCGUAGUAGUGGCGAGCGAACCGGGACCAGGCCAGUGCUCUUGUGAAAUAAAGACGAACGAUCUGGAAAGGUCGGCCAUAGUGGGUGAAAGCCCCGUAGUCAUCAAAUAGCAAGAGACUCGAGUAGGGCGGGACACGUGAAAUCCUGUCUGAACAUGGGGGGACCACCCUCCAAGCCUAAGUACUCCUCUACGACCGAUAGUGAACAAGUACCGUGAGGGAAAGGUGAAAAGCACCCCGACAAGGGGAGUGAAACAGAUCCUGAAAUCGGAAGCCUACAAGCAGUCGGAGCCUCCACGCGAGGUGACGGCGUACCUUUUGUAUAAUGGGUCAGCGACUUCAUGUGUCGAGCAAGCUUAAGCCGUUAGGUGUAGGCGCAGCGAAAGCGAGUCUGAAUAGGGCGCUAAGUUCGACGUAUGACGACCCGAAACCAGGUGAUCUAUCCAUGAGCAGGUUGAAGGUUAGGUAACACUAACUGGAGGACCGAACCCGUGAAUGUUGAAAAAUUCUGGGAUGACUUGUGGAUAGGGGUGAAAGGCCAAUCAAACCUGGACAUAGCUGGUUCUCCGCGAAAUCUAUUUAGGUAGAGCGUCCGACGAAUUCCUUGGGGGGUAGAGCACUGGAUGGUUGCGGGCUGCGCGAGCGGUACCAAUACUAACCAAACUCCGAAUACCCAAGAGAACUAUCGGGCAGACACACGGCGGGUGCUAACGUCCGUCGUGAAAAGGGAAACAACCCUAACCAUCAUCUAAGGCCCCCAAGUAACGGCUAAGUGGGAAACGAUGUGGGAUUGCUUUGACAAUCAGGAGGUUGGCUUAGAAGCAGCCAUCCUUUAAAGAAAGCGUAACAGCUCACUGAUCAAGCGAUCCUGCGCGGAAAAUGUAACGGGGCUCAAGCCGUUCGCCGAAGAUAUGGGUUUGCAGUUUACUGCAAGCGGUAGCGGAGCGUUCCGUAGGCCGGUGAAGGUCAGGCGUGAGCCUGGCUGGAGGUAUCGGAAGUGAGAAUGCUGACAUGAGUAACGAUAAGAGUGUGAGAGACACUCUCGCCGAAAGACCAAGGGUUCCUGCGUAAAGCUAAUCUGCGCAGGGUUAGUCGGCCCCUAAGGCGAGGCUGAAAAGCGUAGUCGAUGGGAAGCAGGUAAAUAUUCCUGCACCAGCUGGAAGUGACGGAUGGCAUAACUCGUACCCACUUAUUGGAUUGUGUGUGCGGGGGCGUCGUCCCAGGAAAUAACUCCAGCAGAGACCGUACCCGAAACCGACACAGGUGGUCAGGUAGAGCAUACCAAGGCGUUUGAGAGAACUAUGUUGAAGGAACUCGGCAAAUUGCACGCGUAACUUCGGAAUAAGCGUGACUCACCCUGCGCAAGCAGGACUGAGUGGCACAAGCCAGGGGGUAGCGACUGUUUAGCAAAAACACAGGGCUCUGCGAAGCAGCAAUGCGACGUAUAGGGUCUGACGCCUGCCCGGUGCCUGAAGGUUAAAGGGAGGAGUGAAAGCUCCGAACUGAAGCCCAGGUAAACGGCGGCCGUAACUAUAACGGUCCUAAGGUAGCGAAAUUCCUUGUCG